AACGAACGCUGGCGGCGCGUUUUAAGCAUGCAAGUCGAACGGCAAGACUGGUAGCAAUACUGGUCUGAGAGUGGCGAACGGGUGAGUAAGACGUAGGUGAUCUACCCCUGGAUGGGGGAUAGUCCGUGGAAACACGGGGUAAUACCGCAUGAGGCCUUGUGGGUGAAGCCAUGAGGUGAAAGCUCCAAUUGGAGCGUCUGGGGAUGAGCCUGCGGCCCAUUAGGCAGUUGGCGGGGUAAUGGCCCACCAAACCGACGAUGGGUAGCCGGCCUGAGAGGGUGUACGGCCACACUGGAACUGAGACACGGUCCAGACUCCUACGGGAGGCAG
rnacentral:rRNA from 1 species